rnacentral:rRNA from 1 species
AUUGAACGCUGGCGGCAUGCUUUACACAUGCAAGUCGAACGGUAACAGGCCUUCGGGUGCUGACGAGUGGCGAACGGGUGCGUAAUGCAUCGGAACGUACCCAGAGGUGGGGGAUAACGCAGCGAAAGCUGUGCCAAUACCGCAUGUGAUCUGAGGAUGAAAGCGGGGGACCGAGCAGCAAUGUUUGGCCUCGCGCCUUUGGAGCGGCCGAUGUCGGAUUAGCUAGUUGGUGGGGUAAAGGCCUACCAAGGCGACGAUCCGUAGCUGGUCUGAGAGGACGACCAGCCACACUGGGACUGAGACACGGCCCAGACUCCUACGGGAGGCAGCAGUGGGGAAUUUUGGACAAUGGGCGCAAGCCUGAUCCAGCAAUGCCGCGUGCGGGAAGAAGGCCUUCGGGUUGUAAACCGCUUUUGGCAGGAACGAAACGGUGUCCGCUAAUACCGGGCGCUAAUGACGGUACCUGCAGAAUAAGCACCGGCUAACUACGUG